UGAAUACGAGAUGCUACGGCGUCGAAGCAGUCUAUGUCAUACUUCCAAGAAAAGCUCGCACUGUCAUAAACAAAUAAUGCCUGUACCAUAACCGACACAGGUGGGUAGGUAGAGUAUACUAAGGGGCGCGAGAUAACUCUCUCUAAGGAACUCGGCAAAAUGACUCCGUAACUUCGGGAGAGGGAGUGCCUUAUUUAUAAGGUUGCAAUAACAAGAUCCAAGCAACUGUUUAUCAAAAACACAGGUCUCCGCUAAGUCGUAAGACGAUGUAUGGGGGCUGACGCCUGCCCAGUGCCAGAAGGUUAAAGAAGUUGGUUAGCAUUCGCGAAGCUGAUAACUGAAGCCCUGGUGAACGGCGGCCGUAACAAUAACGGUCCUAAGGUAGCGAAAUUCCUUGUCGGGUAAGUUCCGACCCGCACGAAAGGCGUAAUGAUUUGGAUACUGUCUCGGAGAGGGGCUCGGUGAAAUAGACUUGUCUGUGAAGAUGCGGACUACCUGCACCAGGACAGAAAGACCCUAUGAAGCUUUGCUGUAACUUGAGAUUGAAAUUGGACUUUACUUGCGCAGUAUAGGUGGGAGGCUUGAUAAUAUUCUUGCGGGAUUAUUUGAGCCAUCAGUGAGAUACCACUCUUGUAAUGUUAGAUUUCUAACUUUGUAUCAUUAUCUGGUCAAAGGACAGUUUCAGGCGGGCAGUUUGACUGGGGCGGUCGCCUCCUAAACGGUAACGGAGGCGCACAAAGGUUUCCUCUGAACGGGUAGAAAUCGUAUCUAGAGUGUAAAGGCAUAAGGAAGCUUGACUGUGAGACCUACAAGUCGAGCAGGGACGAAAGUCGGUCUUAGUGAUCUGACGGUGCUGAAUGGAAAGGCCGUCACUCAACGGAUAAAAGUUACUCUAGGAUAACAGGCUGAUCUCCCCCAAGAGUUCACAUCGACGGGGAGGUUUGGCACCUCGAUGUCGGCUCAUCGCAUCCUGGGGCGGUAGUACGUCCCAAGGGUUGGGCUGUUCGCCCAUGAAAGCGGUACGCGAGCUGGGUUCAGAACGUCGUGAGACAGUUCGGUCCAUAUCCGGUGUAGGCGUUAGAAUAUUGCGAGGAGCCUUCUUUAGUACGAGAGGACCGAGAAGGACAUACCUCUGGUGUACCAGUUAUCGUGCCAACGGUAAACGCUGGGUAGCUAUGUAUGGAGUGGAUAACCGCUGAAAGCAUCUAAGUGGGAAGCCCACCUCAAGAUAAGUAUUCUCAU
rnacentral:rRNA from 1 species